rnacentral:lncRNA from 1 species
AUUUUUUCUUUUUCUGAGGACGAUUUGCCCUGAGCUAACAUCUGUGCCAAUCUUCCUCUAUUUUGUAUGUACGAUGCCGCCACAGUGUGGCUGAUGAGUGGUGUAGGUCAGUGCCCAGGAUCUGAACCCACAAACCUGGGCCAUGGAGCAGAGCGCACAAACUUAACCACUACACCAUGGGGCCAGCCCUGAUUUAGAAUUUUCAGUAAAAGUUAGCCUUACAGAAUGGAGAAUCUAAGCUUCUGAAACAGGAGUUGGCAAGUUUUUUGUAAAGGACCAGAGAGUAAAUAUUUUAGGCUUUUCGGGCAAGGAGACUUAGACAAUAUGUAAACAAAAGGGCACGGCUGUGUUCCAAUAAAACUUUAUUUACAAAAAUAGGGGCCAGGUUGGAUUUGAUUUGCAGGCUGUAGUUCGCCAACGUCUGUUCUGGAACCUCAGCAGAGUUUGCUGUAUGUACUCUUCCCCCUAACUUAAGAUGUCCAGGAAACAUUAACUCCUUUAUUCAUAACGCACCUUUUAUUUCUACCUACAGCACAAGCACAGUCCCCAUAUUUAAAUGCUAGAUGUGAAGUAUGAGAUUGAUUUAUAUGUUUAACUUUCCUUAGGAUGGAUAACAGUCCUAAUCAUUCUUAAAUAUGGAAACAUAGAGCCAUGUGUGUUCAUCAAUGGCACACGAGCCAUCUUAGCUGGCACACUGCCACAGUCUACGUGGAGAACAGCUGGGAUCUGACUGCUUCUGCAAAACGUAUUAAGCACAACUUCAAAUCCAUGGACCACCUGCAACCAGGGCCCCUGUGCAGUUCUUUCCAGUGGGAUGAGAGCACAAGUGAUGAAUGUGGCUUCCCAAUUGACACCGAGAAGGUAUGAGAGCCCAACACAGUGGCAAAUACUCCACGUCAAGAUGGUGGUGCCUCCAGCAGCCUCAGUUCUUGAGUAACAAUGAGGAAUGAACUCUCUGCCACUCACUUGGGAGGUGAUUGAAAAAUAAAGCUUUGAGGUCUAAGCCA